rnacentral:rRNA from 1 species
CCUACGGGAGGCAGCAGUGGGGAAUAUUGCACAAUGGGGGAAACCCUGAUGCAGCGACGCCGCGUGAGUGAAGAAGUCAUUCGGAAUGUAAAGCUCUAUCAGCAGGGAAGAAAAUGACGGUACCUGACUAAGAAGCCCCGGCUAACUACGUGCCAGCAGCCGCGGUAAUACGUAGGGGGCAAGCGUUAUCCGGAUUUACUGGGUGUAAAGGGAGCGUAGACGGCAGCGCAAGUCCGAAGUGAAAGCCCGGGGCCCAACCCCGGGACUGCUUUGGAAACUGUGAAGCUGGAGUGCGGGAGGGGCAG